UGGGGAAUAUUGCACAAUGGGGGGAACCCGUGAUGCAGCGACGCCGCGUGAGCGAUGAAGUAUUUCGGUAUGUAAAGCUCUAUCAGCAGGGAAGAAAAUGACGGUACCUGACUAAGAAGCCCCGGCUAACUACGUGCC
rnacentral:rRNA from 1 species